AAAUGAAGGGUUGGUCAUUCACAAAAAGAAUAGAAAGAGUCGAAAUGUUCAAGAUUUUCUAAACCUUCACUUCAAUGAACAAAAACAAAUUGACAAAACCACUCACUCACUAAACAAAUUCAAAGUGUGGUUCAAGGUCAUUUUAGGGUGUAACACUCCUAGAUUAUAUUCAAUUGAUUCUAUCAACUAGGAUCAGAAGUUUAUGUUCCAUUGAUUAUGUUUUGCUAUGUGCGAUAUCAAAUCAUUGAGUCAAAGAAAUAAUUUCAAGAAGAAAUUGAUUUCAAAGGAGAUUCCUCUUGGUAGAUUAAUCUCUAAAAUCUUCAUUCAAGGAAAGAUCUUAUUUGAGCUAAUAUAAAUACAAUAUAACUGAAAACUUAGAUGAAAGCUUUGGAACUCAUCUUAAUGCAUAAAUCUCAACAAGAUGAAUGUUGUAAAUAAGAUGGGGUUACUAAAACCAAAGAAAGCAAAAAGGG
rnacentral:lncRNA from 1 species